rnacentral:rRNA from 1 species
CUCGGGGAUAGCCUUUCGAAAGAAAGAUUAAUACCCGAUGGCAUAGUUCUUCCGCAUGGUGGAACUAUUAAAGAAUUUCGGUCAUCGAUGGGGAUGCGUUCCAUUAGGUUGUUGGCGGGGUAACGGGCCCACCAAGCCUUCGAUGGAUAGGGGUUCUGAGAGGAAGGUCCCCCACAUUGGAACUGAGACACGGUCCAAACUCCUACGGGAGGCAGCAUG